GGGGAAUAUUGGACAAUGGGGGAAACCCUGAUCCAUCGAUGCCGCGUGAGUGAAGAAGGCCUUUGGGUUGUAAAGCUCUUUUACCUGUGAAGAUGAUGACGGUAACAGGAGAAAAAGCACCGGCUAACUCUGUGCCAGCAGCCGCGGUAAGACAGAGGGUGCUAGCGUUGUUCGGAAUGACUGGGCGUAAAGGAUGCGUAGGCGGCUAUAUUAGUCGAGCGUGAAAGCCCCGGGCUCAACCUGGGAACUGCGUUCGAUACUGUAUAGCUUGAGGCCGGGAGAGGAAAGCGGAAUUUCUAGUGUAGAGGUGAAAUUCGUAGAUAUUAGAAGGAACAUCAGAGGCGAAGGCGGCUUUCUGGACCGGUACUGACGCUGAGGCAUGAAAGCGUGGGGAGCAAAC
rnacentral:rRNA from 1 species